rnacentral:lncRNA from 1 species
CCCCUGCGAUAUUGCCAGUAAUAUCGUCGUCUCCUCCCAGGAUGUUAGGAACAAUAUCACAAGGGUGGUGUACACGCACAGUGAUAUUGGAAGUAAUAUCAUCCACUCCCCCCAUGGAUAUUAGGAACAAUAUCAGAAGGGGUGUACACCCUCUGUGAUAUUUACACUACUACCAUCCUAUACCCCCUGGAUAUUAGGAACAAUACCACGGGGGGACGUACACCCACUGUGAUAUUGGGAGUAAUUUCAUCCUCUGCCCCUUGGAUAUCAGGAGCAAUAUCGCAAGGGGGGUGUACACCCUCUGCGAUGUUAAAAAUAAUACCAUUCUCUCCCCCUCUGGAUACUAGGAGUAAUAUCACAGGGCUGGUGUGCACCCUUUGCGCUAUUGGGAGUAAUAUCACCCUCUCCCCAACUUGAUAUUAGAAACAAUAUCAUGGGGGGUGGCGUGUAACACCCUGCGCUGUUGGGAGUAAUAUCAUCUAGUCUUCCCCUGGGUAUAAGAAACAAUAUCACAGAAGGGGUCUACACCUCCUGAGAUUUUGGGAGUAAUAUCAUCCUCUCCAAAUCUGGAUAUUAAGAAUAGUAUAAUGGGGGGGAGUAAUAUAUUGGAAGUAAUAUAAUCCUCUCCCCCACUUGAUAUUAGGAACAAUAUGGCAAAACGUGUGUACACCCACUGUGAUAUUUGGAGUAAUAUCAACAUUUCCCCACCUGGUAUCACGGGGGGAGUGUACACUCCUUACGAUAUUGGAAAUCACGGGGUGUGUACACUCCCUGUGAUUUUGGGAGUAACAUCAUACACUUGCGUCUUUGAUAUUAGGAACAAUGUCACAGAGGGGGUGUACAACUUCUGCGAUAUUGUAAUAUUCUUUCUUCCCAUGGAUAUUAGGAAUGAUAUCCCGGGGAAGGGUUGUACACCUGCUGCGAUAUGGACAGUAAUAUCAUGGUCCUUCCCCCUACAUAUUAUGAACAAUAUCACAAGAGGGGGCUGGAUACACCCCCUGGAUAUUAGAAACUGUGACGGGGGGGCUGUACAACCUCUUUGAUAUUGUGAGUAAUACCAUCCUCUUCCCUCCUGGAUAUUAAGAACAAUAUCAUAGGGUGGGUGUACACCCCCUGCAAUAUUGGGAAUAAUAUCAUCCUCUUCCCCGGGAUAUUAGGAACAAUAUCACAGGUGGGGUUUACACCCCCUGCGAUUUUGUCAGUAAUAUUACUUCUGGAUGUUAUUGAAUAUAUCACAGUGGGGGUGUACACCCCCUGCGAUAUGGGGAGUAAUAGCAUCAUCUUUCCCACUGGAUACCACAAACAGUACCGCAGGUUGUGUACAAUUUCCUGUUAUAUUGUUCACAAUACUUAGGGGAGGAGAGGAUAUUACUCCACAUAUCGCAAGACGUGUUAAAUCCCCUGUAAUAUUAUUCAUAAUAUUUAGAAGAGGACAGGAUGAUAUUACUCCCAAUAUCGUAGGGAGUAUACACUCCCCUGUGAUACUGUUUGUAAUUUUUAGGGGAUUAGAGGAUGAUAUUACUCCCAAUAUGGCAGGAGGUGUAAACACCUCUGCAAUAUAGUUCGUAAUAUUCAGGGGCUGAGAGGAUAAUA